rnacentral:rRNA from 1 species
AUUGAACGCUGGCGGCAGGCCUAACACAUGCAAGUCGAACGGCAACAGGAAACAGCUUGCUGUUUCGCUGACGAGUGGCGGGCGGGUGAGUAAUGUCUGGGAAACUGCCUGAUGGAGGGGGAUAAUUACUGGAAACGGUAGCUAAUACCGCAUAACGUCGCAAGACCAAAGAGGGGGACCCUCGGGCCUCUUGCCAUCGGAUGUGCCCAGAUGGGAUUAGCUUGUUGGUGGGGUAACGGCUCACCAAGGCGACGAUCCCUAGCUGGUCUGAGAGGAUGACCAGCCACACUGGAACUGAGACACGGUCCAGACUCCUACGGGAGGCAGCAGUGGGGAAUAUUGCACAAUGGGCGCAAGCCUGAUGCAGCCAUGCCGCGUGUAUGAAGAAGGCCUUCGGGUUGUAAAGUACUUUCAGCGGGGAGGAAGGGAGUAAAGUUAAUACCUUUGCUCAUUGACGUUACCCGCAGAAGAAGCACCGGCUAACUCCGUG